UGAAUUGCGUAGAGAUGUGGAGGAACUCCAGUGGCGAAGGUCGGUUUUUUUGGGUCUGUAACUGACGUUGAGACGCGAAAGCGUGGGGAGCAAAACAGGAUUAAGAUACCGUGGUAGUCCACGGAGUAAACGAUGAGUGCUAAGUGUUUAGAGGGUUUCCGCCCUUUAGUGCUGCAGCUAACGCAUUAAGCACUCCGCCUGGGGAGUACGGUCGCAAGACUGAAACUCAAAGGAAUUGACGGGGGCCCGCACAAGCGGUGGGGCAUGUGGUUUAAUUCGAAGCAACGCGAAGAACCUUACCAGGUCUUGACAUCCUCUGACAACUCUAGAGAUAGAGCGUUCCCCUUCGGGGGACAGAGUGACAGAUGGUGCAUGAUUGUCGUCAGCUCGUGUCGUGUUAUGUUGGGUUAAGUCCCGCAACGAGCGCAACCCUUGAUAUUAGUUGCCAGCAUUUAGUUGGGCACUCUAAGGUGACUGCCGGUGACAAACCGGAGGAAGGUGGGGAUGACGUCAAAUCAUCAUGCCCCUUAUGACCUGGGCUACACACGUGCUACAAUGGAUGGUACAAAGGGCUGCAAGACCGCGAGGUCAAGCCAAUCCCAUAAAACCAUUCUCAGUUCGGAUUGUAGGCUGCAACUCGCCUACAUGAAGCUGGAAUCGCUAGUAAUCACGGAUCAGCAUGCCGCGGUGAAUACGUUCCCGGGCCUUGUACACACCGCCCGUCACACCACGUGGAUU
rnacentral:rRNA from 2 species